rnacentral:rRNA from 1 species
AUUGAACGCUGGCGGCAUGCUUUACACAUGCAAGUCGAACGGCAGCGCGGGCUUCGGCCUGGCGGCGAGUGGCGAACGGGUGAGUAAUGCAUCGGAACGUGCCCAGUAGUGGGGGAUAGCCCGGCGAAAGCCGGAUUAAUACCGCAUACGACCUGAGGGUGAAAGCGGGGGACCGAAAGGCCUCGCGCUAUUGGAGCGGCCGAUGUCGGAUUAGCUAGUUGGUGGGGUAAAGGCUUACCAAGGCGACGAUCCGUAGCUGGUCUGAGAGGACGACCAGCCACACUGGGACUGAGACACGGCCCAGACUCCUACGGGAGGCAGCAGUGGGGAAUUUUGGACAAUGGGGGCAACCCUGAUCCAGCCAUGCCGCGUGCGGGAAGACGGCCUUCGGGUUGUAAACCGCUUUUGUUCGGGGAGAAAUCCUCUGGGCUAAUACCCCGGGGGGAUGACGGUACCGGAAGAAUAAGCACCGGCUAACUACGUG